AGACCCGAAACCCGGUGAUCUAGCCAUGGGCAGGUUGAAGGUUGGGUAACACUAACUGGAGGACCGAACCGACUAAUGUUGAAAAAUUAGCGGAUGACCUGUGGCUGGGGGUGAAAGGCCAAUCAAACCGGGAGAUAGCUGGUUCUCCCCGAAAGCUAUUUAGGUAGCGCCUCGUGAAUUCAUCUCCGGGGGUAGAGCACUGUUUCGGCUAGGGGGCCAUCCCGGCUUACCAACCCGAUGCAAACUGCGAAUACCGGAGAAUGUUAUCACGGGAGACACACGGCGGGUGCUAACGUCCGUCGUGAAGAGGGAAACAACCCAGACCGCCAGCUAAGGUCCCAAAGUCAUGGUUAAGUGGGAAACGAUGUGGGAAGGCCCAGACAGCCAGGAUGUUGGCUUAGAAGCAGCCAUCAUUUAAAGAAAGCGUAAUAGCUCACUGGUCGAGUCGGCCUGCGCGGAAGAUGUAACGGGGCUAAACCAUGCACCGAAGCUGCGGCAGCGACACUCAGGUGUUGUUGGGUAGGGGAGCGUUCUGUAAGCCUGCGAAGGUGUGUCGUGAGGCAUGCUGGAGGUAUCAGAAGUGCGAAUGCUGACAUAAGUAACGAUAAAGCGGGUGAAAAGCCCGCUCGCCGGAAGACCAAGGGUUCCUGUCCAACGUUAAUCGGGGCAGGGUGAGUCGACCCCUAAGGCGAGGCCGAAAGGCGUAGUCGAUGGGAAACGGGUUAAUAUUCCCGUACUUGGUGUUACUGCGAAGGGGGGACGGAGAAGGCUAUGUUGGCCGGGCGACGGUUGUCCCGGUUUAAGCGUGUAGGUGUGUGUUCCAGGUAAAUCCGGUU
rnacentral:rRNA from 2 species